CGUAACCGACCUUAGCUCAGUUGGUAGAGCGGAGGACUGUAGUAGGUUUAUUCCCUAAUAGCCAUCCUUAGGUCGCUGGUUCGAAUCCGGCAGGUCGGAU
rnacentral:tRNA from 1 species